UGCAGGAACCAGUUACUACUUCUCCUUCUUAGUGAUCUUGGAUUGGGGAGCAACUUGUGUUGGAUUGAAGAGAUAGAGGCUUUGUGAGACUACUUUGGGGUGGAACAGGCGGUGUCGAUAUUGGUUUCAGCCUUGGCAUUGGUAUUGGAACCGAACAUACUACUCCUGCUGUUCAGUGAUCUUAGAUUUGGGAAUAGCUUAUAUUGGAUUGAAGUGGUGAGCUUCCAUACUCCGAAAGGCUCCAUUUCAUGUUAUGGUCAUCGCUGCAUUCUUUUAUUUCUUAAACUAUGCUUUUGGCUAUGGUCAGGGGCAUGUCCUGACUGGAUGUUGUUUUGAUUUCGGAUAGAGGCUUUGUGAGACUACUUUGGGUUGGUAUGGGCUAUGUCGGUAUUAGUGUCAUCCUUGCCAUUGGUGUUGGUAUUGGGGCUAUCACCGUUUGACUAUAUUUGCUUAUGAUUGUUCCAUUUUGUUAUCUCAUAAAAUUGAAAUUCAUCCAA